UACGUAGGGGGCAAGCGUUGUCCGGAAUCAUUGGGCGUAAAGCGCGUGUAGGCGGUUCGGUAAGUCGGCUGUGAAAGUCCAGGGCUCAACCCUGGGAUGCCGGUCGAUACUGCCGGACUAGAGUUCGGAAGAGGCGAGUGGAAUUCCCGGUGUAGCGGUGAAAUGCGCAGAUAUCGGGAGGAACACCAAUGGCGAAGGCAGCUCGCUGGGACGUUACGUGACGCUGAGACGCGAAAGCGUGGGGAGCAAACAGG
rnacentral:rRNA from 1 species